rnacentral:rRNA from 1 species
UACGUAGGGGGCUAGCGUUGUCCGGAAUCAUUGGGCGUAAAGAGCGUGUAGGCGGUCCGGUAAGUCCGCUGUGAAAGUCGGGGGCUCAACCCUCGAAUGCCGGUGGAUACUGUCGGGCUAGAGUGCGGAAGAGGCGAGUGGAAUUCCUGGUGUAGCGGUGAAGUGCGCAGAUAUCAGGAGGAACACCGAUGGCGAAGGCAGGUCUCUGGGCCAUUACUGACACUGAGAAGCGAAAGCAUGGGGAGCGAACAGG